UGCGUAGGUGGUAAGGCAAGUCAGGUGUGAAAUCUCCGGGCUCAACCCGGAAAUGGCAUUCGAAACUACCUUGCUAGAGGGUUUGAGGGGGGACUGGAAUACUUGGUGUAGCAGUGAAAUGCGUAGAUAUCAAGUGGAACACCAGUGGCGAAGGCGAGUCCCUGGAAAACUCCUGACACUGAGGCACGAAAGCUAGGGAAGCAAACA
rnacentral:rRNA from 1 species